GGUCUAUCCUACCCCGCACCAAAGUCCCCAACCAACCCGCCCAGUUCUUUUCGGAAUCAACGGGCGGAGCGGUCGGGGUAGACGACCGGCGACCGCGGGCUCAAGCACGGCGAGGUGAAGGUGGAGCUCUCCACCGGACAUAACGGGAAUUUAGCAAACUGGAAGCGGACAGAGGCACAUGUGUCGGCCGAUUACAACAUCCUGAGGGGGGUAACCUUCAUGGUGAGUGCAAAAGGAGUAAAUCGGACAUGGCCAUAGCCAUGGAAUAAAGAUGGUGGAACUCAAGAACCCAAGCGAUCGCAACUGGGUUAAGUGGACAACAAACUGGUCGACGGCGGCAAGGCAGAAAGUUGGUGAGUUGGGUGGGGCUCGUCGGCUGAGACGACGUUGUUUUUGCCCAACUGCUGGAUGGCAACGUCGCAGCUCGCAGCUUCUUGUGGCUCAGGGGAAG